AUGUCGGCCAAGGCAUCGGAUCAAGCUAUAAAUGGACAGCAGUGCCAGCUGGAAGGUACAACCAAACAGUGCAAGGCAUGGAUAAUUGAUAGGAUAGAAGAAUACCGUAAGAGCAUGGAGGAGGAAACCAGGGACUUCUACGCAGCCGGUGCAACGUCGGCUGACUUUACAGUGCACACAGUACGCGAGCACGAGGCCAAAAUGAUCCAGAAAGCUGCCAAGCAUAGAAUAGAGUUGGUGGCAUACAUGAAGGGCAAGGGUUACUACGAGCAUGUUGAAAAAUUGAAUUGUAGCUUGGAAGAAAUGUCUUCUAUGAUAGCAGGUUUGCGUUUUAGCAUGGGGAAUUGUUUCGAUGCAGUGGGCGACAAAACACUGGAAAACAAUAUGUCUAUAGAUGAAGGUUUUGCUUUGCCGGACCUUAACAAUCCAAGUUACCGCAAUGAGCAUGAUUUGUUAGUUCAAGAAAGGGAGGAAGCAAAUGUUUUUGAAGAAAGCAGACUUUCCUUCGACAAACAUGAGCAUUUGGACGAAGAUAUUGUUUACGUACCUGACAAUGCUAGGAAGAGGGCACGUGUUGCAUCUUCCGGUUCAGAUGAAGACAGUGACGAAUUUGAGCUUGAGCUACUGAAGAAACAUAUAAUUAAUGAAAAAUGUGGUACAUCACCGUUUGACAUUGGUGCAAAAUAUCCAACAUUUGGAACAGGAUCUUCGGAGUUAGCUUAUCAGAAUCUAAUAGGUUGUUCGCGUACAAUCAAGUCAAGGAUAUGGGUGGAACUUACAAGACCUACUAAAAUUAAGUUGGAUGGGAACACAAUAUUUGAGUUACUAAAGCCGGGUGGGAGGAUGAAUUAUGUCGGUUUUGAUAUGUUUUGCCGCAUUAGCCGGGAGUAUGAGUCGAGAUGGUGUUUAAGCGGCGAUAACAGCAGUUGGAGACACUUUCUGCAUCCUAUGUUUGCGGGCUCUAUUCUACACACAACGAAUCCAUGGUUUAAGAAGCCGAUAAACAACCUUUUCGUGGGUGAACACAUUGGCUACGACGUGGAGUCAUGCAAAAUGUUGUUCGCUCCAUACCAAGAAAAUGACAAGAGCUGGGUCUUAUAUAUAUUCGACCAUAUCGAAAAGAAGCUACAUGUGCUAGAUCCGGUAAGGUCUUGCCUAGGAGAGACAUAUGUGGAGGAACAUCAUGUUGGUAGAUGUUCAAUACUUAUAAAAGGAUUGGCAAUGUGCUUCGAGACGUCUUUUGAAGGCAUUGACAUAGGAACCAAUGGGUGGGAGUAUAUCUUCCAUACAAAUUUGAAUGCAAAGGCAUCAAGCAGUGAAAGUGGUUACUAUGUGGUUCACUACAUGACAAAUUUUGAUGGAUCAGAGGUCCGCGAGAAGAUUAAUGCGAUGGAUCUACACGUAUUAAAGAGGAACAUGCUACAGCUAGCAUGCAGGAUGGAAUCAAACAUGGUGGUGGCACCCGAAUGUAUCAUCGGUUUUUAA
rnacentral:rRNA from 1 species